CCUACGGGUGACUGCAGUCGAGAAUCAUUCACAAUGGGGGAAACCCUGACGGUGCGACGCCGCGUGGGGGAAUGAAGGUCUUCGGAUUGUAAACCCCUGUCAUGUGGGAGCAAAUUAAAAAGAUAGUACCACAAGAGGAAGAGACGGCUAACUCUGUGCCAGCAGCCGCGGUAAUACAGAGGUCUCAAGCGUUGUUCGGAAUCACUGGGCGUAAAGCGUGCGUAGGCUGUUUCGUAAGUCGUGUGUGAAAGGCGCGGGCUCAACCCGCGGACGGCACAUGAUACUGCGAGACUAGAGUAAGGGAGGGGGAACCGGAAUUCUCGGUGUAGCAGUGAAAUGCGUAGAUAUCGAGAGGAACACUCGUGGCGAAGGCGGGUUCCUGGACAUUAACUGACGCUGAGGCACGAAGGCCAGGGGAGCGAAAGGGAUUAGAUACCCUGGUAGUC
rnacentral:rRNA from 1 species